CGCUGCCGGCGAGUGGGUCGCGAGCAGGACACUUCGGAGAGCGGCUCUGCAGACCCUUCAGGGUUCCUGCCUUGGGGCUCAGAGAAUCUGGACUUGGGCUGAGAAGGUUGCAGGGAUUUGGAUGCUAACAUAUCUCCUAGUUUCCAGCGCUCGCCCUGCAGAGCGUGCCAUCUCGGCAGCUGUUGAAAGGUCAGUUGGAAAAGCAUUCAUUCGGGGAGCGACGAGCAAACAUGCACAUAAAAUAGCGUUUCAAGUCGGCCCGGGAUGGUUCUGUGUGAACUGGUGUGUGUGUUCGAGGGGCGGGGGUGGAAUGAGCAGAAGCCAAGUCUUUGCCUGCGCAGGCUGAGUUGAUAUAGACUAUUGCUGGAAACCAUCCGCUGGGAUGUUUCUUAGGGAAAUCCCGUCGUGUGGAAGGAAGCCUUUUAAAGGCAAAGUCAGAUGUUGAGGAAUUAGCCUUUUCAUAGAAUUAUCAAAGGAUGGCUGUACAGACCACCUAGAAAAUAAUUCAGUAUUUCAGGUUUUUCUUUUCUGGGAGUGUGAUAACUGAAAUUGUUAGAUUUUGGCUCAGUUAAGAAAAGAAAGAUCUGUUGCCUUUCUUCUGAGUGAACAGUGGUGAGAAAAAAUUUUGCAAGGCCCCGCUUUUCCUUUCUUCACAGGCCAGCAGUAGCCAUAUCUGAUCAAAAAAGAUACCUGAAGGAAUAUUGAUCACAUUUUCCUGAGGCCCUAGCAAGCACAGGAAUUGAGAAGUUAGGACUGGAACAACUUUGUCAUUUGUCACAAUUGCCAAACAUUAGAAUACACAGGAACCGUUUUUUCAGGUAACUCUGUGACUUGGCUGGAUCUUCCUGAUCAUCAAGAUUAGCACCUCGGGGCCUGGAAGAGGUUAGGGAGGGCAGGAAGAAGGAGUGAGCCAGCAUCCAGCUCUGCGUGGGGCAGGCUAUGGCGUGGACAGACUUAACAUUCCACAGCACGGCUGAAAGCCCUGGACCUCUUUCCCUUGCACCCCUAAUUCAUGGUGAUAAAACCAAAACAUGGUGAAUUAGGUUAUUAGAACGUUGGAACAUCUCUGAAGCUCAAAGCCCUCUUAUGGCUAUGUGAAGGCAUACGUGGAGGCAUACGUACUCCACCCUGAAGCUUCUCCUUCAAUUUUAAUGUUAAUCUUACCAAGCGACAGCUUUCAUCCUGGUUAAGGCAGCUCGGUGUGUGUAAAAGCAGCCUGGCCUGUUAAACACAAUGCCGUUAAAUCAAACUGCCUUUCUUUUUUUUUUUUUAAAGUUUCCUUUUCAGUACUGACAACUUGGAGGUAGAGAAACCAAAAGCAAUGUUUUCAGAAGGCCUUUUGCUUUCUUAAAGAUUUCAAACGAUGAUUGUAGUUAAUCUGGCUGCCUGUUUGAAAAACCAUCAGAUAAAUGCCCACAAGGCUCUCAUCUUUCAGUAGCUUAGCUGCUGCUUGUCAGAUUCUAAACUCCAAAGUGCUUGACUCUUCCAGUGCCCAAACUAAUCCUUGUUUAAAUUAUGUCUUCAGAAGCUAUAACUCUUAUAGUGGCUUGCUAAAUGAUACCCUUUGGAUCUGGGCUGAAGACUUCCAGAAUGCCCAAGUGAAUUUCAGGAGCGGGCUCAAUGUUUAACCAAAUUCACCUUUACCAAGGGCUAUUCAAUCCAUAUCUGGGAUGUUUUAAAUAAAACUAUCCAGGACUGUGGGCAAUAUUCAAAGUUAAUAUUUGUUGCCAAUAUGUUUGGAGUGCAAGAUAAAGCAUUAUAAUGUCUAGACAUUUUUGAAAUAAAAAAGUCUUCUGGUUACCAAAA
rnacentral:lncRNA from 1 species